rnacentral:pre_miRNA from 15 species
UGGCUUGAGGAGCAGGACUUAGCUGCCUUGUGAACAGAGUCAGCAUCAUAUUGUGUUCACAGUGGCUAAGUUCCGCUCCCCUU